GCCUGAGAGUGUGGUAGCAUUCUCUUACUGGGGGCAUCAGGCAGUCACACUGGUGUGGUACUGAGCAGAUAACUGAUGCCUGCCUCCAAAUGCACAGAAAUCACUACCUUAUUUUUGAGACGCUCUGUUUUGCUUCCAAAUUGAUAUGUGAUAAACCACACAAUGAUAUCACAUUGAUAUGUGAUAAACCACACAAGUUCCCUCUUUAAGGGA